CCUACGAGUGGCAGCAGUGAGGAAUAUUGGUCAAUGGACGAGAGUCUGAACCAGCCAAGUAGCGUGAAGGAUGACUGCCCUAUGGGUUGUAAACUUCUUUUAUAAAGGAAUAAAACGAGGCACGUGUGCCUUUUUGCAUGUACUUUAUGAAUAAGGAUAGGCGAACUCCGUGACAGCAGCCGCGGUAAUACGGAGGAACCGAGCGUUAUCCGGAUUUAUUGGGUUUCAAGGGAGCGUAGAUGGUUUGUUAAGUCAGUUGUGAAAGUUUGCGGCUCAACCGUAAGAUUGCAAUUGCAACUGGCAGUCUUGAGUACAGUAGAGGUAGGCGGAAUUCGUGGUGUAGCGGUGAAAUGCUUAGAUAUCACGAAGAACCCCGAUUGCGAAGGCAGCUUACUAAACUGUGACUGACAUUGAUGCUCGAAAGUGUGGGUAUCAAACAGGAUUAGAUACCCGGGUAGUC
rnacentral:rRNA from 1 species